CCUACGGGAGGCAGCAGUGGGGAAUAUUGCACAAUGGGGGAAACCCUGAUGCAGCGACGCCGCGUGAGUGAAGAAGUAUUUCGGUACGUAAAGCUCUAUCAGCAGGGAAGAAAAUGACGGUACCUGACUAAGAAGCCCCGGCUAACUACGUGCCAGCAGCCGCGGUAAUACGUAGGGGGCAAGCGUUAUCCGGAUUUACGGGGUGUAAAGGGAGCGUAGACGGCAGCGCAAGUCUGGAGUGAAAUCCCAUGGCUUAACCAUGGAACUGCUUUGGAAACUGUGCAGCUAGAGUGCAGGAGAGGUAAGCGGAAUUCCUAGUGUAGCGGUGAAAUGCGUAGAUAUUAGGAGGAACACCAGUGGCGAAGGCGGCUUACUGGACUGUAACUGACGUUGAGGCUCGAAAGCGUGGGGAGCAAACAGGAUUAGAUACCCCUGUAGUC
rnacentral:rRNA from 1 species